GCCGCCUUGGCUUAGUGGUACAGCGUCGCACUCGUAAGAUUUCCUCCUCAGGGUAUGCGAAGAUCCGCGGUUCGAUUCCGCGAGGCGGCA